CAAACACUCGCAGUCCUGAUGACAGUCGAGGAGAGAGCAACAAACUGUUAUCUUUCUGACACGUUACAAACUUCUGCGCCCAAAGUUCCAAGUGCAAUGAAGCCAAAGCAAGUCUGUUGGUAAUCUUUGCCCUGCCUCGCACCAGUCGUAUUGAGAUCCACUGUGGAGGAUGGGGUUGCCGUGGAGUAUUAGAGAAACGAAUGUGGGAAAUCAAUGGACCAAGGGGCAGUACUUUUCCUCAUGGACACUUAUGCUGAACAUAAGGAGCAAUUUGCAAUUCCAACUUGAAAAUAGAGGUAUGGAAGAGGAUUGCUUCGGAAAUGGCAUCCUCAGGAUGCCACUUUGCUCCAGCAGCACUUGAGAAAAAAAUGGAGCAAUAUGAAAAAUAUGGUACAAAGCUAUAUUAGAUUUCAACAAGAAAACGGGCCAGGGAAGAUCACGAUGGAAUUUCUAUUCCAGAAUGGCUGAAAUCUUGGAAGGAGACCCUUUGUUCAUCCCACCACUGACAUCAUCAUCACUGGGGAGUGUAAAAGUAAACACUCUCUCCGAGAUCUCCAAUACCCAGCAAUGUGCCACCCCUACAAAGAAGCAAG
rnacentral:lncRNA from 1 species